rnacentral:lncRNA from 1 species
ACUCCCUUCUCCCGGACAUCCAAAACAGGUUACCUUGUCCACGCUCUCCGGACCACGCUUUGGACUUGCUCACUUUUAUUUAAGAGUCCGACGGGGGAAAGAGGGAAAAAAAAUCCAGAGGAGAUCCAAGUCAAUUGGAAGAAAAAAUUUCAAAAGGGUGUCCACAGAGGCGAAAAAAGCCCAGGCUCUACCGACCUUCAAACUACAACAGAGCUUUCAGGAGAAUGCGGAGAGACGGCUUCCCACCCGGACCUCACCAGAAACCCGCACACCCCAGCCACAUUGCUCCUCAUUCAGCCAGAAAGGACUCCAACUCCACCACCAGGAGGCCCCCCUUCCUGGUGCUGGCCAGUUGCAGAGGCUGUUCAUGGCAUCCCACAGGUGGCGACUGCCCCCCACCCUCCUCCUAGCACUUUAGAGGGUCCCUCUGUGGCAGACACCAUGGCUAGGUUUCUCUUUCCAACUCCUGUUGGUCUGGCAAGUGACAGAUCAUCUUCACUACAUUAAUCAGUAGUCACCCGAACAUUCCUAUACUGUCCCCCAAUUCCUUUCAGCACCAGCUGCCUCCCCCACUGGAAUUAUUCAAUAUGGAACUAGAUUAAAUUGAAGACUUGCCCUUUAGUUUUUAA